rnacentral:lncRNA from 1 species
AGUCGGCGUGCCUUGCAGCUGUUGGCUUGACCCCAGGCCGGGACGGGCAGAGCGGAACACUGCCCGGCGGGUCCAGGCCGACCGUGCCUGUGGCUCUCCGGAACAAUAAACCCCCGGCCCCAGUGAUGUGGGCCAGACCGGACCUGGAGAGGCGGCACCGCGACCCCUCCCGCAACCCGCCUGGCGGCCGGGGGCAGCGUGACCCGGCCCGCUACCGUGUCACAGCUGGCGACUGACAAACAGCAGGCGACGUCGGGAGAACUCCCCGAGACACCCGAGACAUCAGCCUUCUCGCUCCGCGGCCCUGCAGGACCUGCCCGCCGGGAGCCCCGGAGUCCGCGGCAGCGCCGAGGGCCCCUCCCCCAGGCCUCUGGGCUCUGAGGGACCAUGCCUGGCCGGAUGCUGCCGCCUGGCUUCAGUGCCAUCUGCAUGUCCUCAGGGAUGACAAAGGACUCAUUGUACCAGAUGUCAAAUUCUACAAGGAGGUGAGGAGACAGAACUUGAGGAAGCCGAGACGGGGUCUCACUGUAUUGCCCAGGCUGGUCUCGAACUCCUGUACUCAAGCAAUCCACCCGCCUCAGCCUCCCAAAGUGCUGAGAUUACAGGCGUGAGCCACUUCGCCUGGCCUAGGAGAUAUGAGUUUACUUGAUCUGUUCAAGUAAAUUCAAUAAAAUAAAGACAGUCUUCAUCUGUCACCCAGACUGGAGUGCAGUGGCGCAAUCUUGCCUCACUACAACCUCUGCCUCCUGGGCUCAAGCGAUUUUCAUGCCUCAGCCUCCCAAGAUGCUAGGAUUACAAGUGUGUGCCACCACGCCCUGCUCCUCUGAGAAAUAAAUGAGUAAAAUGCACCCCCUGUGAGUGAGAUGAUGCAUCUGACUUGCAGGAAUAAACCAAGUGACAUCUGGAGAUCACUCAUGGAAGCUGGCCUGGAACAGGGUUGUGAUUUAGCGAGGGAAAGCCCAGUAACCUGUGGUGUUUCCUGUCUGGAAGAAGACAGUAAGACUGAGCCAGGAGUGUGAAGAACAGUGUGGCCUCUGAACCACCUGUCCCAGAGUUGGAAUGGUCACUCACUAAAAUGCAGGUCCUGGGCCCUGCUCCAUCUCUCCCAAGUCAGAACCACUGGCUGAGGGGCUGGGAAUCUGCACUUGACCAGCCCUCUCAGAUAAGUCAUCUGAACACGCAAGCUUGGUGGGCCUUGGCCCUCAGUGCAGGUGUGGGCGGCGCACGCCACCAGGACAAGGACACUGGGUCAGAGUAACCAGGUACUCUUCACAUGUUGAGGAUCACAUAUGGUUUUGUUUGAUCUGGUGCAGAAGCUAACAUUAGCUGAUUACCUAAUUGGGCGUAAUUCCUCCUUCGGGGAGUCUGAGGGAAGGGGCUCAAUGCUGGAAGUUUCCCGGUCCCGCGAAAGCAUGUCUUUGACAUCCCCAUCUUUGGAGGAUGGGACCAGCUGGGUCUUGGAGGUGGAAACGUAAUCCAAGUCCUUCCCAUUCACAGGGCUGCUGGCACCUUCCUUUCUUGCCAAGGAGCUGGAAGAAGGCACGGAAGCCCCAGGGUUCAGUCAUGGACAGUGAGUUAUCAGAUGCCAGGAUGAGUGACCUUUCUCAGCACUGACUACACUGGGAACCCCACCUCAUUCAGCUCCCAUCUUGUUCAUAUGCCUAGGUAAAAGCGCAAAUAGUGUGAUGCUAAGCCAGGCAGAUGUGGAGGAAGAAGAGGGCAUUUUUCUCCCUUUUAUCAGAACAAAGAGCCCUCGGUGGUCUUGGCAGGAGACGCUUGGGAAAAAUGGGUACAAUCUCCAGGGAUUGAAAGUGUAUGGACCUGUAGGAUGGGCCACAGGUUCUCAGGAACCACCACGGCUGCUGAGGUCUGAGUCAUACAGGCUUCCCCGGGAAGGACUGGCAGAGCCCCACACAGGGUGGUUCUGUCUGUGGAUCAAUGGUAAAGCAGGAUGGCUCUGCCCUGCUGUUCUUACUGGUCCACACCCUGUUCUCCACACCAGCUCCCAGAAAAGUAGCUGUCCUCCCUGCUGAAGUGACAGUGCUUGGUGCCUUUCUCCGAGAAGAGGCAGAUCUGAGGACCGAACUGGCAGGAGGAUGCCCAUGGCUCUUCCCAAAGGUCUGAGGAUAGAAAAUCUGUUUCUUCCUCUUUCCUCCUCCUUGCAACGAGUAUGGCUCAGGGAACUGAGCCUCAACCCAUUGAAUACUGCACUGAUUAUCCGGAAGCAGAACAGAGAGGGUUGGGGUGUGACUGCACUCAUGAAGAGGCAGGAGGAAGCCAGGGACACUGGCAUCCUCUGCUGCCUGACUCUUGUCCUGCGUGUAACAGUUUUCUACAAUCAGCUCUGGCCUGUGGCCUGUGCUCACACACUCUUGCUCACAACAACCUCAAUGACUUGGAUGCUAUUAUUAUUAUUCCCAUUUUGGAGAUGCAGAAACAGGCACAGAGCGGUUCUCAUGUCUCACAUGGGGUGACCCCUUGGGUGUGAGAAGUGCAGAGCAGGGAAGGGAGCCCAGGCGUCAGCUCCAGAGCCUGUGCUCUUACCCACCACUACACAGCACCCUGGGAGGGCUCACUAAGUGAACCUAAAUGCUCUUCCCACCUUGCACAUACAAACGAGUCUUGCCUGAAAGGUGAACUGGAGUUUUAGGUGACCUGAGUGCCAGUCGGCGGGAAGACCCUAGUGAAGUGAGGGGAGGGGGUACAACAUAAAGUACCAGAGGGCAUGGGCUCUGGAGAGCUGGUCCAGCUUCUUGCUGCCAUUCCACUACUCAUUGGUGGUAUGGCCUUGGUGAGUGACUUCCCCUCUCUAAGCCUCUGUUUCUUCAUCAGUGUAAUGAAGACAUUAACUCCCACCUCACCAGGUUGCUGUGAGGACGAGAGAUGAUUCUUGUGCGGUUCCAAACCAGCCCCAGCCCGGGCCCCACAGACUUGCUAGUAUUGGCAGCAGUGACGUCCAUUGUGCCAACCCAGUAGCUGAGACACCAGGGGGAAAGUGGGAACAGUGCACAUCCUCCCAUGCACCCACCGAGGAGGGCCAGCUGCUGAGGAGGCAGAGCGGCAAGGUCACUCACCUGAGUGGCUCUUUGAAUGUCUUCUUGGACUUGGCUUUCUUCCCAGGUUUGGUAGAGAAAGGGGCGACUCCGAGUCCAAAGUUUUGUCCUUCAGGCUCACCCACUAGGUGGCCAUCAACAUCCACAAGCCCCGCCUACAUAGAGAGGCCAGCCAAAGGUCUGUGAGUUAGAUUAAGGGCUUGGACCCCUUGGGGACCCACAUGUAUAUGGCCCAAGGCUCAGGGUGGACAUGUUCACCAUACACACCAAGGUUUGACAGCUGCUGAUGCCAGCCUCAGGCUGUCCCCUGUAGAGCGGUCCCUGACCACUCUGCCAAAUGUCCACUUUCCACAUGCACCCCCUCACCAGUAUGGCACCUCAUUCCAUACUCUGGGGAUCUUAAAGCUUAUUUCCAACCUAAUUCCAGGAAAUCGUCUUUAAUAUUAUUAUCCAUGUCUCUACCUUAUGGAAAUUAUUUUUAAUUCAAAAGUGGUUUACUCUUAACACAGGUCACCUGUGUUCAUUCUGGUGUUACCUUUAUCUGUUGCAAUCCUAGCUCUGGUUUAAUGCAUUAAUACUUGCUGGCUCUGCAAAGGUCUGAGGAUGGGAAAUCUGAGGUGAGUGCUGUCGGCAAGUAGCAACUAUGCUUACCUUCUGGAUAGCAGAAAUGGCUGCAAAGUCAUUCCUGUCAAUGAGGGUGUACUUCCUGCGCAAAGUGGACUCCACUUCCUGUUCCUGUUGGCUUGGGAGACAGCAAGAGAGAACAGCUUGUACCUGGGGCCAUGCUGAAUCCACUGGGGCAAGAACCAAGUACUGGGGUUAAAAGUCAUAUGGGUGAGGCCCCUUGUGUGGGGCCACACCUUCAUCAUGAACCAGACCAGACAAAAGGACAAAGGACUCACUUCCCCCUGCCCCAUUGCAUAUACCCACUGUCCGACCCCCAUACCCACAAGGGCUACCUUAUGUCAUGUGUGUCUGCUCCAAGAUGACACUUGAUAAGGACCGUAAGCUUCACUUGGGACCAUGUGGGGUUCUGUCUUAGGUUCUGUCUCUAAGAGGCCACUUGGAAUCACAUGACCAGCUUUAGUGACACCACCUAGCAUAAGCUGCUCAGACUAUGGGUAUGUUUGCACCCAAAUAAACCACAAAUGCCUCCUGAGGUGGGAGUGUGUGUUGCAAUAUUCACAAGGUGAAUAUUCACAAUGCCCUGCUCUGGGCACUCUCAGAGCUGGCACUCCAUAAACACCUCCUGUCCAAUUAAUGAACUCACUGAAUAUCCACCAGGGACCCAGGCAUGCCCCCAAGGACUCUGAUUUGGCUCUUCAUCCACAAGCAAGAAGAGGAGCUCUUGGAGGCAAGUGCCCAGAUGGCAGGAGAUGAAAAUGGCAGCCUGAUGUAGGAAUGAGGUAGGGGUGGGGGUCUCUCACCUCAGAACCACCCGGAACUGGUUGAACACCUCCUUGAUCUGUCUAAGGCUGAUUAUCUGGAGGGAAGACAGCAAGGCAGAGGUUAGACCAAGGGCACCUCGAGGGACCAGGGGGCAUCUAUGUUAGUAGAGAAAUCAAGACCCCUUGGCUGACCCCUGGACCAUCUGUCUCGAGAAGAGGACGUGUGCACACAGCCUCUCAGCGAAGUGGCAGCCAAGCCCUCCUCCAGAGCAGAGAAACACCUGAUUAAUAAUUUUAAAACUAAGUAUUUGCUGAGGCUAUAAAAACCACCUUUUCGAAGUGGAGACCUCUAUAAAAUGAAAUGAUUCUAUACCUUGAAAAUACCUUCUAAAGGUUUUUUUUUUUUUUUUAAUAAAAUGUACUUCUCAGCUUUCUCU